CAAACUGGGAUUAGAUACCCCACUAUGCCUGGCCCUAAAUCUAGAUGCCCGCAUACCCAUGCAUCCGCCUGAGAACUACGAGCACAAACGCUUAAAACUCUAAGGACUUGGCGGUGCCCCAAACCCACCUAGAGGAGCCUGUUCU
rnacentral:rRNA from 1 species